UACGUAGGGUGCAAGCGUUGUCCGGAAUUAUUGGGCGUAAAGAGCUCGUAGGCGGCCUGUCGCGUCGGCUGUGAAAACCCGGGGCUCAACCCCGGGCCUGCAGUCGAUACGGGCAGGCUAGAGUCCGGCAGGGGAGACUGGAAUUCCUGGUGUAGCGGUGAAAUGCGCAGAUAUCAGGAGGAACACCGGUGGCGAAGGCGGGUCUCUGGGCAUCUCCUGACGCUGAGGCGCGAAAGCGUGGGGAGCAAACGGG
rnacentral:rRNA from 1 species